rnacentral:rRNA from 2 species
UUAAGCGACUAAGCGUACACGGUGGAUGCCCUGGCAGUCAGAGGCGAUGAAGGACGUGCUAAUCUGCGAUAAGCGUCGGUGAGGUGAUAUGAACCGUUAUAACCGGCGAUUUCCGAAUGGGGAAACCCAGUGUGUUUCGACACACUAUCAUUAACUGAAUCCAUAGGUUAAUGAGGCGAACCGGGGGAACUGAAACAUCUAAGUACCCCGAGGAAAAGAAAUCAACCGAGAUUCCCCCAGUAGCGGCGAGCGAACGGGGAGGAGCCCAGAGCCUGAAUCAGUGUGUGUGUUAGUGGAAGCGUCUGGAAAGGCGCGCGAUACAGGGUGACAGCCCCGUACACAAAAAUGCACAUAUUGUGAGCUCGAUGAGUAGGGCGGGACACGUGGUAUCCUGUCUGAAUAUGGGGGGACCAUCCUCCAAGGCUAAAUACUCCUGACUGACCGAUAGUGAACCAGUACCGUGAGGGAAAGGCGAAAAGAACCCCGGCGAGGGGAGUGAAAAAGAACCUGAAACCGUGUACGUACAAGCAGUGGGAGCCUCUUUAUGGGGUGACUGCGUACCUUUUGUAUAAUGGGUCAGCGACUUAUAUUCUGUAGCAAGGUUAACCGAAUAGGGGAGCCGAAGGGAAACCGAGUCUUAACUGGGCGUUAAGUUGCAGGGUAUAGACCCGAAACCCGGUGAUCUAGCCAUGGGCAGGUUGAAGGUUGGGUAACACUAACUGGAGGACCGAACCGACUAAUGUUGAAAAAUUAGCGGAUGACUUGUGGCUGGGGGUGAAAGGCCAAUCAAACCGGGAGAUAGCUGGUUCUCCCCGAAAGCUAUUUAGGUAGCGCCUCGUGAAUUCAUCUCCGGGGGUAGAGCACUGUUUCGGCAAGGGGGUCAUCCCGACUUACCAACCCGAUGCAAACUGCGAAUACCGGAGAAUGUUAUCACGGGAGACACACGGCGGGUGCUAACGUCCGUCGUGAAGAGGGAAACAACCCAGACCGCCAGCUAAGGUCCCAAAGUCAUGGUUAAGUGGGAAACGAUGUGGGAAGGCCCAGACAGCCAGGAUGUUGGCUUAGAAGCAGCCAUCAUUUAAAGAAAGCGUAAUAGCUCACUGGUCGAGUCGGCCUGCGCGGAAGAUGUAACGGGGCUAAACCAUGCACCGAAGCUGCGGCAGCGACACUAUGUGUUGUUGGGUAGGGGAGCGUUCUGUAAGCCUGUGAAGGUGGCCUGUGAGGGUUGCUGGAGGUAUCAGAAGUGCGAAUGCUGACAUAAGUAACGAUAAAGCGGGUGAAAAGCCCGCUCGCCGGAAGACCAAGGGUUCCUGUCCAACGUUAAUCGGGGCAGGGUGAGUCGACCCCUAAGGCGAGGCCGAAAGGCGUAGUCGAUGGGAAACAGGUUAAUAUUCCUGUACUUGGUGUUACUGCGAAGGGGGGACGAAGAAGGCUAUGUUGGCCGGGCGACGGUUGUCCCGGUUUAAGCGUGUAGGCUGGUUUUCCAGGCAAAUCCGGAAAACCAAGGCUGAGGCGUGAUGACGAGGCACUACGGUGCUGAAGCGACAAAUGCCCUGCUUCCAGGAAAAGCCUCUAAGCAUCAGGUAACAUCAAAUCGUACCCCAAACCGACACAGGUGGUCAGGUAGAGAAUACCAAGGCGCUUGAGAGAACUCGGGUGAAGGAACUAGGCAAAAUGGUGCCGUAACUUCGGGAGAAGGCACGCUGAUAUGUAGGUGAAGCGACUUGCUCGUGGAGCUGAAAUCAGUCGAAGAUACCAGCUGGCUGCAACUGUUUAUUAAAAACACAGCACUGUGCAAACACGAAAGUGGACGUAUACGGUGUGACGCCUGCCCGGUGCCGGAAGGUUAAUUGAUGGGGUUAGCGGUAACGCGAAGCUCUUGAUCGAAGCCCCGGUAAACGGCGGCCGUAACUAUAACGGUCCUAAGGUAGCGAAAUUCCUUGUCGGGUAAGUUCCGACCUGCACGAAUGGCGUAAUGAUGGCCAGGCUGUCUCCACCCGAGACUCAGUGAAAUUGAACUCGCUGUGAAGAUGCAGUGUACCCGCGGCAAGACGGAAAGACCCCGUGAACCUUUACUAUAGCUUGACACUGAACAUUGAGCCUUGAUGUGUAGGAUAGGUGGGAGGCUUUGAAGUGUGGACGCCAGUCUGCAUGGAGCCGACCUUGAAAUACCACCCUUUAAUGUUUGAUGUUCUAACGUUGGCCCGUAAUCCGGGUUGCGGACAGUGUCUGGUGGGUAGUUUGACUGGGGCGGUCUCCUCCUAAAGAGUAACGGAGGAGCACGAAGGUUGGCUAAUCCUGGUCGGACAUCAGGAGGUUAGUGCAAUGGCAUAAGCCAGCUUGACUGCGAGCGUGACGGCGCGAGCAGGUGCGAAAGCAGGUCAUAGUGAUCCGGUGGUUCUGAAUGGAAGGGCCAUCGCUCAACGGAUAAAAGGUACUCCGGGGAUAACAGGCUGAUACCGCCCAAGAGUUCAUAUCGACGGCGGUGUUUGGCACCUCGAUGUCGGCUCAUCACAUCCUGGGGCUGAAGUAGGUCCCAAGGGUAUGGCUGUUCGCCAUUUAAAGUGGUACGCGAGCUGGGUUUAGAACGUCGUGAGACAGUUCGGUCCCUAUCUGCCGUGGGCGCUGGAGAACUGAGGGGGGCUGCUCCUAGUACGAGAGGACCGGAGUGGACGCAUCACUGGUGUUCGGGUUGUCAUGCCAAUGGCACUGCCCGGUAGCUAAAUGCGGAAGAGAUAAGUGCUGAAAGCAUCUAAGCACGAAACUUGCCCCGAGAUGAGUUCUCCCUGAGACUUAGAGUCUCCUGAAGGAACGUUGAAGACGACGACGUUGAUAGGCCGGGUGUGUAAGCGCAGCGAUGCGUUGAGCUAACCGGUACUAAUGAACCGUGAGGCUUAACCUU